AGUAAGGAAUAUUGGUCAAUGGAGGCAACUCUGAACCAGCCAUGCCGCGUGCAGGAAGACAGCCCUCUGGGUCGUAAACUGCUUUUAUUCGGGAAUAAACCUCAUUACGUGUAWUGAGCUGAAUGUACCGAAGGAAUAAGGAUCGGCUAACUCCGUGCCAGCAGCCGCGGUAAUACGGAGGAUCCAAGCGUUAUCCGGAUUUAUUGGGUUUAAAGGGUGCGUAGGCGGCUUUUUAAGUCAGGGGUGAAAGACGGUAGCUCAACUAUCGCAGUGCCCUUGAUACUGAAGAGCUUGAAUGGACUAGAGGUAGGCGGAAUGUGACAAGUAGCGGUGAAAUGCAUAGAUAUGUCACAGAACACCGAUUGCGAAGGCAGCUUACUAUGGUUUUAUUGACGCUGAGGCACGAAAGCGUGGGGAUCAAACAGGAUUAGAUACCCUGGUAGUCCACGCCCUAAACGAUGAAUACUCGCUGUUAGCGAUACACAGUUAGCGGCUAAGCGAAAGCGUUAAGUAUUCCACCUGGGGAGUACGGUCGCAAGAUUGAAACUC
rnacentral:rRNA from 1 species